ensembl:lncRNA
AGAUGGAAAUAAAGGAAAGAAGAAAAACAUCUAGCUACUUUCAGGCUCGUCCACCUGCAUCAGGUUUUUCCUGCCUCGUGCUUAGUCGUGCUCUUUGUGACCCCAUGGACUGUAGCCCACCAGGCUCCUCUGUCCAUGGAAUUCCCCAGGUGGAUUCUUUAUCACUGUGCCACCUGGGAAGCUUAUAGAGUGGGUUGCCAUUUCCUUCUCCAGGGGAUCUUCUGGAUCCAGAGAUCAAACCUGAAUCUCCUGCAUUGUCAGGGACUGAACACAGCUGCUGGCACCCUCAUGCUUUCCUGGAUGUUGCCGAUAUAUCUGUUUACUAAGUCAACGUCUAAACCCAGGUGGACACAGAUGAAGGCAGGGCCCCUUAGUCCAAAGCCCUCAGCUCACUCACCAUGGAGAACUGAAAAUUCAUCCUGCAGCACUUCCUACCCCAGGGAGAGCUCUCGUUCCUUUGAUCCUCAUGAUUCAUUUGAUCCAAUCAAACACUAGUUCAUUCUCACGUCCCCCAUGUUCAGUGAACACAAAGUGAACAUUAAUUUGUCUUCUCUCUGGAGUUCUUUUUAUAUCAUUGGGAUCAAUGAUGAGAUUCCCCCUGCCACCCCCACACCGCUGUGUUUACAAAGCACCCAGUCGUGUCCAGAACAAAAGGUAAAGGAUUUUGGUGCUUGGGCCUGGACCUGGCGUGUGUGGUGGAUGUACACGGG